AUUGAACGCUGGCGGCAUGCCUUACACAUGCAAGUCGAACGGCAGCACGGGUGCUUGCACCUGGUGGCGAGUGGCGAACGGGUGAGUAAUACAUCGGAACAUGUCCUGUAGUGGGGGAUAGCCCGGCGAAAGCCGGAUUAAUACCGCAUACGAUCUACGGAUGAAAGCGGGGGACCUUCGGGCCUCGCGCUAUAGGGUUGGCCGAUGGCUGAUUAGCUAGUUGGUGGGGUAAAGGCCUACCAAGGCGACGAUCAGUAGCUGGUCUGAGAGGACGACCAGCCACAACUGGACUUGGGCAAGGCCCCGACCCCCUAGGGAGGGCACCGUGGGGAAAUUUUGGACAUGGGCGGAAGGCUGGUCCAGGCAAGGCGGGGUGGGUAAAAAGGGCUUUCGGUUGUAAAGCACUUUUGUCCGGAAAGAAAUCCUUGGCCCUAAUACGGUCGGGGGAUGACGGUACCGGAAGAAUAAGCACCGGCUAACUACGUA
rnacentral:rRNA from 1 species